UCCUUUUUCUCCGCAUCCUCGCCAGCACUUGUUGCUUGUUGAUUUGUUGAUGAUAGCCAUUCUGACAGGGGGGAGAUGAUACCACAUUGUUGUUUUAAUUUGCAUUUAUCUUAUGACUAGUG